AUACGUAGGUGACAAGCGUUAUCCGGAUUUACUGGGCGUAAAGGGCGUGUAGGCGGUCUUGCAAGUCAGAAGUGAAAUUCCUGAGCUCAACUCGGGCGCUGCUUCUGAAACUGCAGGACUUGAGUGCUGGAGGGGAUAGCGGAAUUCCUAGUGGAGCGGUAAAAUGCGCAGAUAUUAGGAAGAACACCGGUGGCGAAGGCGGCGAGCUGGAUAGUAACUGACGCUGAGGCGCGAAAGCGUGGGGAGCAAACAGGAUAAGAUACCCUUGUAGUCCACGCCGUAAACGAUGAAUACUAGGUGUAGGGGGUAUCGACUCCCUCUGUGCCGCAGUUAACACAAUAAGUAUUCCGCCUGGGGAGUACGGCCGCAAGGUUGAAACUCAAAGGAAUUGACGGGG
rnacentral:rRNA from 1 species